UACGUAGGGUGCGAGCGUUAAUCGGAAUUACUGGGCGUAAAGCGUGCGCAGGCGGUGAGCUGUGUCCGAUGUGAAAGCCCCGGGCUUAACCUGGGAAUGGCAUUGGAAACUGGCUCGCUGGAGUGUGGCAGAGGGGGGUGGAAUUCCGCGUGUAGCAGUGAAAUGCGUAGAGAUGCGGAGGAACACCGAUGGCGAAGGCGGCCCCCUGGGCUAACACUGAGGCUCAGGCACGAAAGCGUGGGGAGCAAACAGG
rnacentral:rRNA from 1 species